UUAAGGUGUUCUUGCACGGGCUCUUAAGCAACGUGGAAAUAGGUUGAUGGAAAAUAAACAUCAGUUUCUAAAAAAAAAAAAGUGCAUUCUGAAGUGUUGAAGGGUAACAUGCACUGAUUUCUGUAACUUCUUUUGAAUUGAAUUUAAAAACAAUGUGAAUUGUUGAAUGGAUAAACAGAUACAUGGUAAACCAAGUGUAAUAAAAUGUUUAUUGCAGAAUUUGGGUUGACAUACGGCUGUUCGCUGUAUAUUUCUUUCAACUUUUCGGUGCAUUUGAAAAUUUGUAGGCCGGGUACAGUGGCUCAUGCCUAUAAACCCAGCACUUUGAAAGGGCGAGGUGGGU
rnacentral:lncRNA from 10 species